CAGAGUGAUGAAAACCUGGAGCUGUAGCUGAUUGAGCAGAAAAUGACGUUGCAAAAGGCCUGCCUGUAGAAUCAGGAA